rfam:Clostridium sp. W14A NODE_63, whole genome shotgun sequence.
GGUCAAGCUACAAAGAGCGCAAGGGGAAUGCCUUGGCACUGGGAGCCGAAGAAGGACGCGGCUAACUGCGAAAAGCUAUGGGGAGCCGUAAGCAGGCAUUGAUCCAUAGGUGUCCGAAUGGAGCAAUCCGGCUGGAGUCAUGUCCAGUCACCGUGGAGUGAAUUCAUAGCUGCACGGGGGGAACCGCCUGAACUGAAACAUCUAAGUAGGGCGAGGAAAAGAAAUCAACCGAGAUUCCGCAAGUAGUGGCGAGCGAACGCGGAAGAGGCCAAACCGCGGGCAGCAAUGCCCGCGGGGUGUGGACAGCCAAAAAGUACGCAAUUCUGAGCAGAACGGCAUGGAAAGGCCGACGAAAGAGUGUGAAAGUCACGUAUGCGAAGGGAAAGCGCAGUGGGCUGUAUCCCGAGUACUGCCGGACACGUGAAACCCGGUGGGAACAUGGGGGGACCACCCUCCAAGCCUAAAUACUACCCAGUGACCGAUAGUGAAGAGUACUGUGAAGGAAAGGUGAAAAGCACCCCGGAAGGGGAGUGAAAUAGAACCUGAAACCUUGUGCUUACAAGCACCGAGAGCCCGUCAAUGGGUGAUCGGGUACCUUUUGUAGAAUGGUCCGGCGAGUGAAUGUAACUGGCAAGGUUAAGUCCUUCAGGGACGGAGCCGCAGGGAAACCAAGUCUGAAUAGGGCGUAUGAAGUCAGUUGUAUUCGACCCGAAACCGGGUGACCUACCCAUGUCCAGGUUGAAGUGGGGGUAAAACCCCAUGGAGGACCGAACCGACUCCCGUUGAAAUGGUAGCGGAUGAGGUGUGGGUAGCGGAGAAAUUCCAAUCGAACCCGGAGAUAGCUGGUUCUCUCCGAAAUAGCUUUAGGGCUAGCCUCGUAUUAGAUUACCGGAGGUAAAGCACUGAAUGGUCUAGGGGCCGAAAGGCUACCGAAGCCUAUCAAACUCAGAAUGCCGGAUAAUUGAUGUACGGGAGUCAGACAGUGUGAGAUAAGUUUCAUUGUCGAAAGGGAAACAGCCCAGACCCACAGCUAAGGUCCCUAAACACGGUUAAGUGGCAAAGGAUGUGGGGUUGCUUAGACAACCAGGAUGUUGGCUCAGAAGCAGCCAUUCAUUAAAAGAGUGCGUAAUAGCUCACUGGUCGAGUGACCCUGCGCCGAAAAUUCAACGGGGCUAAAAUCGUGUACCGAAGCUUGGGAU